GACGUAGGGCGCGAGCGUUGUCCGGAUUUAUUGGGCGUAAAGAGCUCGUAGGCGGCUCGUCGCGUCGACCGUGAAAACCCGCGGCUUAACUGCGGGCUUGCGGUUGAUACGGGCGGGCUAGAGUUCGGUAGGGGAGACUGGAAUUCCUGGUGUAGCGGUGAAAUGCGCAGAUAUCAGGAGGAACACCGGUGGCGAAGGCGGGUCUCUGGGCCGGUACUGACGCUGAGGUGCGAAAGCGUGGGGAGCAAACAGG
rnacentral:rRNA from 1 species